rnacentral:tRNA from 5 species
GGGGCUAUAGCUCAGCUGGGAGAGCGCUACAAUGGCAUUGUAGAGGUCGUCGGUUCGAUCCCGACUAGCUCCACCA